GUGUCAGCCGCCGCGGUAAGACGAAGGUGGCUAGCGUUAUUCGGUAUCACUGGGCUUAAAGCGUGUGUAGGCGGGGGUGUAAGCGCUGUGUGAAAUCCCUCGGCUCAACCGAGGAAUUGCACAGCGAACUGCACCUCUUGAGGCAGGCAGGGGUGCGUGGAACUCUUGGUGGAGCGGUGAAAUGCGUAGAUAUCAAGAGGAACGCCGGUGGUGAAGACGACGCACUGGGCCUGCCCUGACGCUGAGACACGAAAGCGUGGGGAGCAAACAGGAUUAGAUACCCUGGUAGUCCACGCCCUAAACGAUGUCUACUAGGUUGUGGCCGUUCCGACGCGGUCACGGCCGAAGCGAAAGUGUUAAGUAGACCGCCUGGGGAGUACGGUCGCAAGGCUAAAACUCAAAUGAAUUGACGGGG
rnacentral:rRNA from 1 species